rnacentral:rRNA from 1 species
UGAAUACGAGAUGCUACGGCGUCGAAGCAGUCUAUGUCAUACUUCCAAGAAAAGCUUGCACUGUCAUAAACAAAUAAUGCCUGUACCAUAACCGACACAGGUGGGUAGGUAGAGUAUACUAAGGGGCGCGAGAUAACUCUCUCUAAGGAACUCGGCAAAAUGACUCCGUAACUUCGGGAGAAGGAGUGCCUUAUUUAUAAGGUUGCAAUAACAAGAUCCAAGCAACUGUUUACCAAAAACACAGGUCUCCGCUAAGUCGUAAGACGAUGUAUGGGGGCUGACGCCUGCCCAGUGCCAGAAGGUUAAAGAAGUUGGUUAGCAUCCGCGAAGCUGAUAACUGAAGCCCUGGUGAACGGCGGCCGUAACGAUAACGGUCCUAAGGUAGCGAAAUUCCUUGUCGGGUAAGUUCCGACCCGCACGAAAGGCGUAAUGAUUUGGAUACUGUCUCGGAGAGGGGCUCGGUGAAAUAGACUUGUCUGUGAAGAUGCGGACUACCUGCACCAGGACAGAAAGACCCUAUGAAGCUUUACUGUAACCUGAAAUUGAAAUUGGACUUUACUUGCGCAGUAUAGGUGGGAGCGUUGAGAAUAUUCUUGCGGGAUUAUUGGAGCCAUCAGUGAGAUACCACUCUUGUAAUGUUAGAUUUCUAACUUUGUAUCAUUAUCUGGUCAAAGAACAGUUUCAGGCGGGCAGUUUGACUGGGGCGGUCGCCUCCUAAACGGUAACGGAGGCGCACAAAGGUUUCCUCUGAACGGGUAGAAAUCGUAUCUAGAGUGUAAAGGCAUAAGGAAGCUUGACUGUGAGACCUACAAGUCGAGCAGGGACGAAAGUCGGUCUUAGUGAUCUGACGGUGCUGAGUGGAAAGGCCGUCACUCAACGGAUAAAAGUUACUCUAGGAUAACAGGCUGAUCUCCCCCAAGAGUUCACAUCGACGGGGAGGUUUGGCACCUCGAUGUCGGCUCAUCGCAUCCUGGGGCGGUAGUACGUCCCAAGGGUUGGGCUGUUCGCCCAUGAAAGCGGUACGCGAGCUGGGUUCAGAACGUCGUGAGACAGUUCGGUCCAUAUCCGGUGUAGGCGUUAGAAUAUUGAGAGGAGCCUUCUUUAGUACGAGAGGACCGAGAAGGACAUACCUCUGGUGUACCAGUUAUCGUGCCAACGGUAAACGCUGGGUAGCUAUGUGUGGAGUGGAUAACCGCUGAAAGCAUCUAAGUGGGAAGCCCACCUCAAGAUAAGUAUUCUCAUAAA